rnacentral:rRNA from 1 species
GUAGGUGGCAAGCGUUGUCCGGAAUUAUUGGGCGUAAAGCGCGCGCAGGCGGUUCUUUAAGUCUGAUGUGAAAGCCCACGGCUCAACCGUGGAGGGUCAUUGGAAACUGGAGAACUUGAGUACAGAAGAGGAAAGCGGAAUUCCACGUGUAGCGGUGAAAUGCGUAGAGAUGUGGAGGAACACCAGUGGCGAAGGCGGCUUUCUGGCCUGUAACUGACGCUGAGGCGCGAAAGCGUGGGGAGCAAACAGGAUUAGAUACCCUGGUAGUCCACGCCGUAAACGAUGAGUGCUAAGUGUUAGGGGGGUUUUCCGCCCCCCUUAGUGCUGCAGCUAACGCAUUAAGCACUCCGCCUGGGAGUACGGCCGCAAGGCUG